UGGGGAAUUUUGGACAAUGGGCGCAAGCCUGAUCCAGCCAUGCCGCGUGCAGGAUGAAGGCCCUCGGGUUGUAAACUGCUUUUGUACGGAACGAAAAGCCUCUUUCUAAUAAAGAGGGGUGAUGACGGUACCGUAAGAAUAAGCACCGGCUAACUACGUGCCAGCAGCCGCGGUAAUACGUAGGGUGCGAGCGUUAAUCGGAAUUACUGGGCGUAAAGCGUGCGCAGGCGGUCUUGCAAGACAGUGGUGAAAUCCCCGGGCUCAACCUGGGAACUGCCAUUGUGACUGCAAGGCUGGAGUACGGCAGAGGGGGAUGGAAUUCCGCGUGUAGCAGUGAAAUGCGUAGAUAUGCGGGGGAACACCGAUGGCGAAGGCAGUCCCCUGGGCCUGUACUGACGCUCAUGCACGAAAGCGUGGGGAGCAAACA
rnacentral:rRNA from 1 species